GCCGGUUUAGCUCAGUUGGUAGAGCAGCUGUCUUGUAAACAGCAGGUCGCAGGUUCGAGCCCUGUAACCGGCU
rnacentral:tRNA from 1 species